AUGAAGUCAAAAAUUCGGAGUAUCCCUAAGCAAAAAAUCCUCACAAAACUAGUUCUCAAACCAUGUUGUCCUUGACAGUGGAUUCUUAACCAGACACUAGCAGCUACACACUGCCUACCCUGACUGCUUCAUGUUCCUGUAGAUGAAUGGAUAGAGGGGUCAGUGGAGGUGGGACCUGGAGGGCAGGUUAGGGGGCACAGGAAGCUGCAGCACUGGACAUUCAUAUCAAGAAAGGCCUCGUUUAGAUGGCAUCAGAGCUCAAGGGUAGAGAGCUUAGCUGGAGUUAGGUAGCUGCCCAGCCAGAGAUGGGAUCUCGGUUGAUAAAGGGGAGGCAGGCAGAGGAGGUGGGGUGUGAUUAAUCACACACAGGCCCACUAACUGGCCUCAUGCACUUAGAUAUAAACCUCGGCGAGUCAGAGGGGCAUCGGCAUACGUGUAGGGGGACUUUGCGGACACUCCUAAGUUCCACAAGCCGACGCAUGCCAAAGGCAGAGGCCCUGAGCUGUCAAACGCAGACAUGCAGGAUAGGAAGGGCAAGACAAGCCGGGAGAUGGGGCGGGGCAAACUGGACAGGGAAGACGGGGGGGGGGCAUCUGGCGUGGCCGCAAUGGCGCGUCACUACCAGGGCUUCAACCCAGCCGCGUACCUGCAGUAUAAUUACACGCCUCCCCGGGCUGACUUCAGCCGCGCCGACAGCGUCAUGCGCUGGAAACUGGGCUGCCUGCACCGAGCCUUCACAGAAGGCGACAUACAGGGAGAGACGCUGGUGGACAUUGGAUCUGGUCCCACUCUGUAUCAGGUUCUGAGUGGCUGCGAGGUUUUCAGCCACGUGGUUCUGACGGACUUCCUGGAUGUGAACCGGCAGGAGCUGCGGCGGUGGUUGGCAGGCGAGGAGGGCGACUUCGACUGGGCGCCGUACCUGCAGCACGUCUGCCAGCUGGAGGGACGAAGCCCCUCUGCUUGGCGUGAGAAAGCGGCCCGCCUGCGCUCGGUGGUGUCCGACGUCCUGCCCAUCGACGUGCACCAAGCUUCCCCGCUGGCCGAGGGCACCCUGCCGCCCUCAGGGGCCGACUGCUUGGUGUCCUCCUUCUGCCUGGAGAGCGUGAGCCCGGACUUGCCCUGCUUCACCCAGGCUCUGCGCCACAUCGGCUCCCUGCUGCGUCCCGGGGGCUGCUUGCUCCUCAUUGGGGCCCUGGGGGAGACCUAUUACAUGGGGGGGCCGGGCGUGCGCAUCCCCGUGGUGCCGCUGGAUGAGACGCAGGUCUGCGCAAGCCUGAGGGCCAGCGGCUACCUGCUAAUACAGCUCUGCGUCUACAGGCUGCCUGCAGACAUGAAGGUGGGCGUGGAUGAUGUCACCGGGAUAUUUUACGCGAAGGUGAAGAAAGUCGCAGGAUAACUUAGGAGAGGAAUGACAGCCAAUAAGCUGGAUUAGCCAGUUAACAGGAGACGCCACCUGCUGGAUCAGCGUUGAGGAUCAGCAGAGGAAAUGGUGCAUUUGCAUUAUGAAAAAGCUGCUCAGACUUAUAGGCACUCAGAGCGAGCGGCUGCUGGGGAGGCAUCUCUGCUGCCUCAUCAUCGCUAUCACACAGAAAUCAGGGGGAAGGUAAGCAUGUUCCAUGCAGUGGACGUACCUGAGGAGGGUAGAUGGCUACCGCUGUCUGUGCUGACCUGUAACGGAAAGAAAACCUGUGUUUUGCUACAGGAUGCACAAGUACAAUGAGGUAAAAGUUUGUACUGCUUCAGUUAUUCCAGACCUUUCAAUUGUGCCCCCUACACCCCCUACACACAUUUGUAUUCAUACCUUUGUGGGGACCAUCCAUUCAUUUCUAAGGGAAAAAAACCAUAUAGUAUUUGGUUCCCACAAUGUAAUAUAUAUGUAACUCUCCCACCCCCCCACACACAAAAUUCUUUACAGUCAGCAGAGUCAUUGCCUUAAUUGCAUUGCAUCGCAGUGCCUAUUACCACCGGUAGGUUGCCAUGGCUACCCCCACCUGUUAGCACAGACCCAGCAGUGGGGUGGAAGUGAUAAUAGGAAAUGUGCACUUUAUUGUGGAGAGACUGGGAGCCAGACUCAAGCAAUCCACUCACUAAUAAUGUCCAGCGCUCUUGUUAACAUGACAACGUAACUUUAAAAACCUCCUUCAAGAAAAUGUUUUUCCCUUCUUUUCUUGAAGCUGAAGGUGACCCUUCUUUUCAUUUCUCUGAUACCGGUGACUCAUUCAGGCUGCACUGCUGAGCUUCUGUCCUGGCCACAAAGCUCCUUCACAGCAGCACUGAAGCCUGGCUUCCAGCUGAAGGAGACUGAAGAAUGGGCCUGACAAUUUAAGUUUCAAGGAAACACACGGUGAAGCCAAAGAGGCCCAGGGUGUGAGCUUUAGAAGCAUGUUAAACCUCUAACUGAUUGAACUGCUAUAACCCCCCUUUGAUUGCCAAUUUCUGGCACCUCCUUUUGUUUACAAUAAAGUAUCCAGAAUUUACACUCCAAGAUCUCUCACAUAAUAUCAGUCCACAACUGAUAUUACAGUUGUUGUAUAUAUGUCCACGUUUUCGGCAUUAGACGUUCACAGAAGGUACUGCAAUGAAGAAUCUUCAUCCAAAUGGGAUUCAAUGCUUCAGCCUUCCUGUGCGGUACAUGCAUUAGAUACUGUGGUCUCUCAUGUCUUAUUAGGGCAUGCUAUGGACAUGCAAAAUGUUUUGAAACUUCCAGCCUACUGUCAGUCCGGUGAUCGUGUGUCACGUGAGUUUGGAUGAAUGCACUACCCACUAAAACCACCUUUCUGCUGACAAAUGGCGGAAAUGUCCUGAACGGUGACCGAGGGCAGUAGGGGUGAGGCAGGCUGUCCAUUACUCCACUCCCAAUUAACAUCUUCCACUCGUCUGUGAAGUUUGUUAAUUCCGUGAAAGCAGAACCAUUGAUUCAAGGUUUCUGCUGCUCGCUUUUCCUUCUUCAAGCGACGUCCAGUGUUCAUCUCUGGUGCCCAGAUUCACGGUGAGUCAGAGUAACCUUUAAACAAGUUUCUUUAACUUUUUCUCUCUCUCUUCUGGAAAGUAGCUAUCAGUCGUUAGUCUGUUUGCUGCCAUCCCACUGUGACACCGGCUGGCAUCCUGCAGGUGUUAGGUGAUGGAAAAUGAAGUCCUCACAGUAAAGAGCUUCCAGGACAUUCCGUGUCCUUCAUCGCAGUGUCAGCAUGAAAGAAGGCUGCACUGUGUGGCAGGUUGCUUCCAGACUUUCUACGGUUGCAGUACACAAGAACAAGGUGAAGCAGGAGACACUGGGAACAACCAAAAACUAGCCAGGUUGAGCCAGAAGCAACUUUCUAAUGCCAGAGAUGAUCAUCAACUUUGUCUGACAGUGUCUCAUGACUUGGAGGAUGACACCAAGUGACAUUCACAGAGAAUGGGAAACAUAAGUGGUGUGAAGUGCACUGCUAGGACAAUUUGUAACAGGCUCCUAGAAGCAGGACUGAAGACCUAUAAAGCAAGGAAGAACUCCUUCAUCAACGAGAAGCAGAGAAGA